AAGGAUCAUUACCGAAUUGUCAACAAGAGUUGUUGCUGGUCUCCGUAUGGGGGCAUGUGCACGCUCUGUUUACACAUCCACUCACACCUGUGCACCCUCUGUAGUUCUAUGGCCUGGGUGGGCUCUGUCCCCCUGCUGUGGUUCUGCGUCUUUACACACACACUACAAUGAAGUCUCAUGGAAUGUAUGUCGCGUUUAACGCAAUGAAAUACAACUUUCAGCAACGGAUCUCUUGGCUCUC
rnacentral:misc_RNA from 1 species